GGGUGCUGAAGUUCUCUGAUGCCUACAGCAAUAGUUACAUGUUACGUGGUAAGCACAAGCCCAGUGAUGACUGCAGCUCCCCAACCCCACGGGACAGAGAGAGGCAAUGGCUUUAACCCAACUCCGCAGGAUGGAGAGAGCUUGGGUAAAACGUUUUGAUUUAGGCCAAAGUAAUGAAGUGGCUCCGCCUAUGAGUUGGGUUCUUCACACAACUCCAGCUCCUGCAGAUCCACUCUUUGGGGCUUGAGGUGGGUGCAUACAGGUUUUUAAAAGCAAAUAUGUGCUCAGAAAACCUUCAGCAUUUCAUUUUGCUUCGAAGAAAGGACCCUUUUAUAAAACAUAUGUUCCCUUCUUUGUGUGGGAUCUAACAAACUGCAAAUUAGAGAUGGAUCUCGCAGAAGCCAAAGCCGAAACUCUCCCCAUUCUGCCUGCUGGGCACCCCUCGUGCUGCAGGUUUUAUAACUAGGAUGUCUGGAGUGCAGACAGAUGGAUUCUGCCUGCUGCCCUGCCCGGGGCCGCUCACCCCUUCACCCAACGGCACCGCUUUAACACGGAGAUGUUUGCAUCCAGCAAAGCACAACCAACAAACUGCUGCGGUGUGGAUGUGCUUCACAUUGCUCCAGUGAUAUAAGGAACGAAUCCCCUCUUUUCUCUCUGUGCUUUGUCUUUAAGAGGUGCUGGUAUUUCUAUUUCAGCAUGCAGAGUGCCUGGUUUCACUAGCAAGCCACUGCGGUAUCUGCAGGACUAAAAAUAAGACAUUUCUCCUGGAAAACACCAUCUUUUUCACAUUUUAUCUGGCCUGAAAGGCAGUAAUGCAUGGAGCUGCGCAGAACCUGAAUUUGCUUCUGCCAUGCAUGGGAAAGUUGGGAUGCUCACCUGGAAAUAAAUCCCCAGGGCCACCUCCAAUGUGAUGCUUCCCAGUGGCACCCCAACCUGCACAGAGCCAGCAGCAGCACUGCGGUGGGAGCUCCUGGCCCUGCAGCCCAGCUGGAUGGGGACAGCAUGGGGGCAGGGUGGGCUUGUAGGAAGUUUGGGAGCUCUCAGAGCCGUUUUAAGAUCUGGGGAAGUUUUUGUGUUAGCUAUUUUUUGUGUUAACUGGAAUGAGUUUCUCGUGUGAGCCGGGCUCAGUGUUGCGAUGUAAGUGGGGCUGGGAAGGAAGCCAUGCUGAAAUGUUCACCUUAUGGGAAAGCCACAAAAAAUAUAUGUGUUGUGGAGUUACUCUUUGCUGAGAUGGGAAUUCACAUUUUAUUCCUUUUAUCACGUUUUAUUUCUUGUGUCAUUACAGCAUACACAAGCAGAUUAUUCCCCAGCCACAAACACAGUUGCAGUGAGAUGCUGCAGUCGAAAAGCACAAAACAGGCAACAGUUCAACAUUCUCAGCUAAGAUAAUUAUGUUAAUAUUAAUGGAUAUUAAUUUCUGUUUAUUUUACAAAUAUUGUAUUAGGAAAGUAGCUUUCAAAUUCACACCUCACCAACUGCUUUUCAGCAAUGAUUUGUUUCAUUAAUUUUAUCAGCUGCAUUCCUUGCUUUUUUUUAUAGCACAUUCUUAGCUGAGAGACAUUAAUCCACCAAAGAACAUCCUAAAAGUCUGUGCGGAAGAACUGAACAGAUAAAUGUCAGUGUACAGGCUAUCCACCACUGUCAGUUUUUCAAUUUGCAAUGUACUUGGGGCACGUAAUAAAUUUCUGAUCUUUGGUUUUGUUUUUAAGGCA